rnacentral:rRNA from 1 species
CCUACGGGUGGCUGCAGUGGGGAAUAUUGGACAAUGGGGGCAACCCUGAUCCAGCCAUGCCGCGUGUGUGAAGAAGGCCCUCGGGUUGUAAAGCACUUUCAGUGAGGAAGAACGCCUGGUGGUUAAUACCCAUCAGGAAAGACAUCACUCACAGAAGAAGCACCGGCUAACUCCGUGCCAGCAGCCGCGGUAAUACGGAGGGUGCGAGCGUUAAUCGGAAUUACUGGGCGUAAAGCGCGCGUAGGUGGCUUGAUAAGCCGGUUGUGAAAGCCCCGGGCUCAACCUGGGAACGGCAUCCGGAACUGUCAAGCUAGAGUGCAGGAGAGGAAGGUAGAAUUCCCGGUGUAGCGGUGCAAAACGUAGAGAUCGGGAGGAAUACCAGUUGCGAAGGCGGCCUUCUGGACUGACACUGACACUGAGGUGCGAAAGCGUGGGUAGCAAACAGGAUUAGAUACCCUAGUAGUC